AGUCGAGCGGAGAUGAGGUGCUUGCACCUUAUCUUAGCGGCGGACGGGUGAGUAAUGCUUAGGAAUCUGCCUAUUAGUGGGGGACAACAUUCCGAAAGGAAUGCUAAUACCGCAUACGUCCUACGGGAGAAAGCAGGGGAUCUUCGGACCUUGCGCUAAUAGAUGAGCCUAAGUCGGAUUAGCUAGUUGGUGGGGUAAAGGCCUACCAAGGCAGAUCUGUAGCGGGUCUGAGAGGAUGAUCCGCCACACUGGGACUGAGACACGGCCCAGACUCCUACGGGAGGCAGCAGUGGGGAAUAUUGGACAAUGGGGGGAACCCUGAUCCAGCCAUGCCGCGUGUGUGAAGAAGGCCUUAUGGUUGUAAAGCACUUUAAGCGAGGAGGAGGCUACUAAGACUAAUACUCUUGGAUAGUGGACGUUACUCGCAGAAUAAGCACCGGCUAACUCUGUGCCAGCAGCCGCGGUAAUACAGAGGGUGCGAGCGUUAAUCGGAUUUACUGGGCGUAAAGCGUGCGUAGGCGGCUUUUUAAGUCGGAUGUGAAAUCCCCGAGCUUAACUUGGGAAUUGCAUUCGAUACUGGGAAGCUAGAGUAUGGGAGAGGAUGGUAGAAUUCCAGGUGUAGCGGUGAAAUGCGUAGAGAUCUGGAGGAAUACCGAUGGCGAAGGCAGCCAUCUGGCCUAAUACUGACGCUGAGGUACGAAAGCAUGGGGAGCAAACAGGAUAGAUACCCUGGUAGUCCAUGCCGUAAACGAUGUCUACUAGCCGUUGGGGCCUUUGAGGCUUUAGUGGCGCAGCUAACGCGAUAAGUAGACCGCCUGGGGAGUACGGUCGCAAGACUAAAACUCAAAUGAAUUGACGGGGGCCCGCACAAGCGGUGGAGCAUGUGGUUUAAUUCGAUGC
rnacentral:rRNA from 1 species